AAUAACCUUAUUUUUCAUUUUUCCAUAUCCAACGUUUAACCAUUCGUCUUAUUUGAAAAAUUUAUAAAAAAACUUAAAAAAAUUAGUCACGUAUAAAGAACUAUUUAUAAUUUAUAUUUUAUCAUCUAGUAACAAUAAAAAUAUUAAUCGUUAAAAAAUUUCAAAUAAGACGAAUGGUCAAACGUUGGACACGGAAAA
rfam:Oryza brachyantha chromosome 1, whole genome shotgun sequence.